GACACGGGCGGUUUCGCUGGCAGCGGGUAUAUUUAGCACUUCCCCGAGCCCUUCGUGUGCUCCUGCCGCCGUGCGAGCGCUCGGUAAUUAAUUGACGCGGCUCUCGGCGGUGGUCCCGGGGUUAAUGGUGGCCCCCCGGGGUUAAUGGUGGCCCCCCGGGGCUUGUGGUGGCUCCCCGGGGUCGUGGUGGUCCCGCGGCCCCACAGGUUUUCCUGACUGUUCUGUGGCCCUGUCGCUGCAGCCGCCAUGGAUCCGAAUGCUGUGGCUGCAAAGGCUUCUUACUUUCUCAUACUGGAUCCCUCAAAUCCAAGAGCUGCUUGGCAGUUUCCAAGGCAACCACCUGUGGAAUAAUUAAAAAGGAUGAAGCGUUAGUGUGCCAAAGAUACGGAAUUCUUGCCUGGAGAGAGCACUUCAUUUUCAUCUGUUGUGAAGAAUCAAAUGUGUCUCUGCCAGCAAAGUUAAGAAGAAGAAAUGGUGACCGAGCUGUGCAAGUGAACCAGGACAAUCCAAAAAAUUCAGAAGGCGUCUGUGAGCGGCCGGGCAGGACUAGCACAGGAGAGGUGCUUCUGGUACCUGCUGCCUCUCGCCUGGGGCUUGUGCCAGCAAGGAGCCGAGGUGCCGACUUCACAUCACACCUGGGCUCGAUUUCGGAUGCUUCUCCUGGCAACGCAGGGGAUACGCAUUAUCUUCAUCUUACCUGGAAACCUAAGAGGAAUUUUAUGGCCCUUGAAAGCGGGAUGAGUGCUGUUUGUCUCGUGGUUUUACAGCCUGGUGUAAACAGAGCACUGCUCCGGCCUGGAAAUGCAGGUGCUGAUCUCCUGAGAAUGCUUUCCGUAUGCCAAAGGAAGAACACGAUGUUGGAGGGAAAGCCUAUUUAUAAAUGUGUACCGACUGAAAGGUCGCUCUCUUGCUGGUUUUCGUCAGAGCCACGCUGCCGGUGCUUGCUGAGCUCCUCGUUACCUGCAGGGGAUGAAGCAGAGCCCAGCAGAGCUGGGGUCAGGGCUCGGUGAGAGUUUGUUGGGCUGAAGGCCCUGAUCCACGGGUGAGAAGAGCUGGAAGAGAGCCCAAGGUG
rnacentral:lncRNA from 1 species